ACGGGGAAUUAGGGUUCGAUUCCGGAGAGGGAGCCUGAGAAACGGCUACCACAUCUAAGGAAGGCAGCAGGCGCGCAAAUUACCCAAUCCUAAUACAGGGAGGUAGUGACAAGAAAUAACAAUACAGGACUUUAAAUAGUUUUGUAAUUGGAAUGAGUUAAGUAUAAACCCCUUUACAAGUAUCAAUUGGAGGGCAAGUCUGGUGCCAGCAGCCGCGGUAAUUCCAGCUCCAAUAGCGUAUAUUAAAGUUGUUGCAGUUAAAAAGCUCGUAGUUGGAUUUCUGUUAAUAAUUUAUAUAUAAUAUUUUAUUAAUAUUUAUAUAGUAUUAACAUAAUUCAUAUUACUAUAUUUUAUAGUAUAUGAAAUUUUACUUUGAGAAAAUUAGAGUGCUUAAAGCAGGCAUUAGCCUUGAAUACUCCAGCAUGGAAUAAUAUAAAAGAUUUUUAUCUUUUUUAUUGGUUCUAAGAUAAAAAUAAUG
rnacentral:rRNA from 1 species